AAGAUAUCUCAUGCUGUUGAAUUGGAAAAGUCAACGUUGUUAAAAUGGCCAUACUGCCCAAGGCAAUCUACAGAUUUAAUGCAACCCCUACCAAACUCCCCAUGAUGUUUUUCACAGAACUAGAACAAACAAUCCUAAAUUUUAUGUGGAAUCCCAAAAGACCCAGAAUUCUGUAAGCAAUAUUGAAGAAAAAGAACAAAGUUGGAGGAACAACCCUCCCAGACUUCAGACAACACUACAGAACUACAGUAAUCAAA